UGACAUUACAAAGGAAGCUACCAAGAAGCCGAAGGAAAAGUGAUUUUCAGGAAGCUUGUGGUCACUGGGGAGCUAGAGAUUGAAGGAGAGACCAUGGGGAAGGCAUAAAAUGUCGUAUGUUGCUUCACCAUGGUUCUCAUGAGCCCCUGUUUUUCCUUUUCCCUUAGAGCGAGAAGAUAGACAACCCACUCGAGAAAGAGCCAAAGUCCUCCACCUUCUCCCUUUCCCCUUGCCUGCAAGGAUAGACAUCAAGCUGGGUGGGUAUCUGAUAGAUAGUUGGAUUUCAAGCCUGAAAUGAGCUAGGCUGAGGCCACAUGAGUGAAAUGCGGGCUGGGUCGAAUUGGGUACCAAUCGCUUGACUCGGUCUUGCGAUGUGCAUGCAAGUUUGGGCCAGGUCAGUCCAGGUAUUGGCAGCACCACUCGGGUAGGCUCUCAUACUUUAUAGGGUUUGCCUUUCUCUUUGCCUGUCAAGAUACACAAUUACUUUCUCUCUUUGUCUUUUAUCUCUCUAUUUCUCUUUCUCACACUCACAAACAUCUCCUAGAUCACUAGGGCUUUUUCAUGAAAAUCUAAGUGAUUGGUUGAGGAUUUUUCUUUCCGAUAGAAUGAAAUACUCUUUUUGCACACCCAAAAAAACUAGUUCUUUAUA